rnacentral:rRNA from 1 species
UACGUAGGGUGCAAGCGUUGUCCGGAAUUAUUGGGCGUAAAGAGCUCGUAGGCGGUCUGUCGCGUCUGCUGUGAAAACUCAGGGCUUAACCCUGAGCUUGCAGUGGGUACGGGCAGACUAGAGUGCGGUAGGGGGAGACUGGAAUUCCUGGUGUAGCGGUGAAAUGCGCAGAUAUCAGGAGGAACACCGGUGGCGAAGGCGGGUCUCUGGGCCGUAACUGACGCUGGAGGAGCGGAAAGCAUGGGGAGCGAACAG